rnacentral:rRNA from 1 species
AGUGAACGCUGGCGGUAGGCCUAACACAUGCAAGUCGAACGGCAGCACAGUAAUAGCUUGCUCUUACGGGUGGCGAGUGGCGGACGGGUGAGGAAUACAUCGGAAUCUACUUUUUCGUGGGGGAUAACGUAGGGAAACUUACGCUAAUACCGCAUACGACCUACGGGUGAAAGCAGGGGAUCUUCGGACCUUGCGCGAUUGAAUGAGCCGAUGUCGGAUUAGCUAGUUGGCGGGGUAAAGGCCCACCAAGGCGACGAUCCGUAGCUGGUCUGAGAGGAUGAUCAGCCACACUGGAACUGAGACACGGUCCAGACUCCUACGGGAGGCAGAAGUGGGGAAUAUUGGAAAAUGGGCGCAAGCCUGAUCCAGCCAUACCGCGUGGGUGAAGAAGGCCUUCGGGUUGUAAAGCCCUUUUGUUGGGAAAGAAAAGCAGCAGGUUAAUACCCCGCUGUUCUGACGGUACCCAAAGAAUAAGCACCGGCUAACUUCGUG